GGCCAGGCUGGUCUCGAACUCCUGGCCUCACGCAAUACACCCACCUCGGCUUCCCAAAGUGCUGGGAUUACAGGUGUGAACCACUGUGCCCAGCCUAUUUUUUUUUGAAUAGCACUGUUACAGAAGAAUGUCAGUUUACUCCAGGGCACUUCAGUAUUCCUGAGGAAUAAACACAGUUUCUCUUUUCCUCCCACUGGGAUGUUGUCAGGUGAAGUCACUGCUCCUGCUGUUUGACAUAUUUUCCAUGUAGAAGAUAUGGACCUGGAAAUCAUGCUGACAGUUGGAGUAAGCCAUUUCUAAUCCCAUGCCAGAACCGAAGGCUAAUGGCCACACUCGUCUUUUAAAGAAGAAUCCCACAGGAUGAGAUGAAGAAUAUCAUGUAGCCAUCUCAGCUUAUUUCACAUCGUUUGAAGCCUGCUCUUAGCCAGAGGUCUUCUGUCUUUGUGAUUCUUCAGAAUGGCCCACUGCAGUCCCCACAAGGCUGGUUACAUGUUAUAAGCCACGUAGAUGGGGUCUAACUGGUCAGCUAGGAAGCUAUCACGGAGGUGCAUCCUCUGCUUCUCUCCUCUGGAGUUGAUCGGGAUGACACCUGGGUCCACCACAACCACGACGCCAACGAUGAGGUAAUGCUCUUCCAGGACCACGUUGGUCACUAAUGGGACCAGAUCUAGGGCUUCCUGUUCAGAGCCGCACAGUUCCACAACCACCACAAGCAAGUUGGUCCAUGUGAACACGGCACUGAAAUUUCAAUGACAAUUCAUUAACUUGUCACUACAUUUUUCAGUUAUCUUUUAUAGCAUCUGUCCCAGACUUAGCCCAUUUCCCCGCCUUCUCCCCUCAAUCCCAACCAGAACGUCAGCAGUCAUGUCUACCAUAUAUGACACCUUUCAAUUUUACCUGAUAAGACUGAGGGAAAAAUUAUAUAAUGAAUAUAUAUAUAUAUGAGAGACAUCUUGCCCCUGUGAACACAGCUGAGUUGUCCAGAAUCUCCUGGGAGUUUGAAAGUGGAAUUUAAAGUUGUCAGGCCAGGCGCGGUGGCUCACACCUAUAAUCCCAGCACUUUGGGAGGCCGACAUGGGCGGAUCACCUGAGGUCAGGAGUUCGAGACCAGCCUGGCCAACAUGGCGAAAUCCCGCCUCUACUAAAAAUACAAAAAUUAGCCAGACUUGGUGGUGAGCACCCGUAGUCCCAGCUACUCAGGAGGCUGAGGGAGGAGAAUAAUUUGAACCCAGGAGGCGGAGGUUGCAGUGAGCCAAGUUUGCGCCACUACACUCCAGCCUGGGCAACAGAGUGAGACUCUGUCUCAAAAAAAAAGUUGUUAACUGGUCAUUUGAACCAGUGACAUGGAUUUGAAUAUUCUGGGGUAGCCCAGGGCACAGAGAAGCAGAGAGAAUCCCUCUUCAGGGAGGCGAAAAAGAAAGAAGGGAAUGCCCAUAUGGCUCUAGAAAGUAAGGCGACAGUGAUUCCUGAUGGCCUUACCAUUCCCUUGUUUCUACCUUUCCUGAGACCCAGAGUUAGUUUUUUUGGAAUGUCUGAGAUAGCCAGGUAUUCUUUCCAUUAAUUCUUUCACUUAAGCUUUUUUGAAGGGAGCCUGUUAUUUGCCCCAUAAGAGCUUUGACUAAUAAAAUAUUCUUUUGUUUUUUAGACUAGUCAAGUGCAGUAGUGAGAAAGAGGGAAAGAGUAGAACGAAUAGUUUGAUUGAUUUGUAAUUGACUAUUAACAAUCAAUUAAAUUAACUCACUACCUUCA